CAGUGGCUCAGUGGACUGCAAAGAUUCGUGCCAUCAUCGUCUGGAUGAAGAGGUCGUCCAUGGCGAAGGUGGUUCUACGGGAAGAGCAGGAUGUCCUAAACCUCCCUCAACAUUCACUGAUUCUCGAUGUGAGAACAAGGUGGAAUUCUCUCUACCUAAUGAUGGAGAGAUUCCUUGAACAAUACCCUGCAAUACAAGCAGCCAGCUUGGACCAACGCCUGAGAAAGAAUAUGGAGAGGGACAGGCUUUAUCGGCUGACAGAUGGUGAUUUCACCAAGGCAGAAGACUUCAUCAGGCUGAUGCAGGUUCUGUACACCUGCACGCUCUGUGUUUCCACUGAAAAAAGCCCAACAGCCGGACAGAUCCUGCCGAUCAUCCAAAAGCUGGAGAAACACUUUAAAUGGAGACACAGCAUUUGUAGCUGACUUGAAGAAAAGGGUCUGGGGAAACAUGUCUACCCGGUACAAGUUUUGUUUUUAUUGUUUUAAAGAAUGAGGACAUCAGGUUCUUCUUGGAAGAAGCCACUGCCUUAGAUCCCCGCUUCAAGAAUAAGAUGGACAACAACACCGCAGUCUGGGAACGGAUCAAGGGGAAGUUGCUGGCAAACUCUGAAGC
ensembl:lncRNA